CAGUCGCCGCGGGAAUACAGAGGGUGCAAGCGUUAAUCGGAAUUACUGGGCGUAAAGCGCGCGUAGGUGGUGGUUUAAGUCCGUUGUGAAAGCCCUGGGCUCAACCUGGGAAUUGCAGUGGAUACUGGGUCACUAGAGUGUGGUAGAGGAUAGUGGAAUUUCCGGUGUAGCAGUGAAAUGCGUAGAGAUCGGAAGGAACAUCUGUGGCGAAGGCGACUAUCUGGGCCAACACUGACACUGAGGCACGAAAGCGUGGGGAGCAAACAGGAUUAGAUACCCCCGUAGUCCCUGUCUCUUAUAC
rnacentral:rRNA from 1 species